ACGAACGCUGGCGGCGUGCUUAACCCAUGCAAGUCGAACGGGAUCCAAAGGCUUUUUGUUUUUGGUGAGAGUGGCGAACGGGUGAGUAACACGUGAGUAACCUGCCCCCUUCUUUUGGAUAACCGCAUGAAAGUGUGGCUAAUACAGGAUAUUCCAGGCUGGUCGCAUGAUUGGUUUGGGAAAUGGUUUGGUCUGGUGGGGGAUGGGCUCGCGGCCUAUCAGCUUGUUGGUGGGGUGAUGGCCUACCAAGGCGGUGACGGGUAGCCGGCCUGAGAGGGUGGGCGGUCACACUGGGACUGAGAUACGGCCCAGACUCCUACGGGAGGCAGCAGUGGGGGAUUUUGCACAAUGGGCGCAAGCCUGAUGCAGCGACGCCGCGUGAGGGAUGAAGGCCUUCGGGUUGUAAACCUCUUUCGCUGGGUUGAAAGGCCAUGCUUUGGGUGUGGUUGAUUUGAACUGGUAAAGAAGUACCGGCUAACUACGUG
rnacentral:rRNA from 1 species